rnacentral:rRNA from 1 species
AUUGAACGCUGGCGGCAUGCUUUACACAUGCAAGUCGAACGGCAGCACGGACUUCGGUCUGGUGGCGAGUGGCGAACGGGUGAGUAAUACAUCGGAACGUGCCCAGCUGUGGGGGAUAACUACUCGAAAGAGUAGCUAAUACCGCAUGAGAACUGAGGUUGAAAGCAGGGGAUCGUAAGACCUUGCGCAACUGGAGCGGCCGAUGGCAGAUUAGGUAGUUGGUGGGAUAAAAGCCUACCAAGCCGACGAUCUGUAGCGGGUCUGAGAGGACGACCAGCCACACUGGGACUGAGGCACGGCCCAGACUCCUACGGGAGGCAGCAGUGGGGAAUUUUGGACAAUGGGCGAAAGCCUGAUCCAGCAAUGCCGCGUGCAGGAUGAAGGCCUUCGGGUUGUAAACUGCUUUUGUACGGAACGAAAAGCUUCGGGCUAAUACCCUGGAGUCAUGACGGUACCGUAAGAAUAAGCACCGGCUAACUACGUGCCAGCCGCCGCCGUAAUAC